rnacentral:rRNA from 1 species
CCUACGGGAGGCAGCAGUAGGGAAUCUUCCGCAAUGGACGAAAGUCUGACGGAGCAACGCCGCGUGAACGAUGAAGGCCUUCGGGUCGUAAAGUUCUGUUGUUAGGGAAGAACAAGUGCUAGUUGAAUAAGCUGGCACCUUGACGGUACCUAACCAGAAAGCCACGGCUAACUACGUGCCAGCAGCCGCGGUAAUACGUAGGUGGCAAGCGUUGUCCGGAAUUAUUGGGCGUAAAGCGCGCGCAGGCGGUUUCUUAAGUCUGAUGUGAAAGCCCCCGGCUCAACCGGGGAGGGUCAUUGGAAACUGGGAAACUUGAGUGCAGAAGAGGAAAGUGGAAUUCCAAGUGUAGCGGUGAAAUGCGUAGAGAUUUGGAGGAACACCAGUGGCGAAGGCGACUUUCUGGUCUGUAACUGACGCUGAGGCGCGAAAGCGUGGGGAGCAAACAGGAUUAGAUACCCGUGGUAGUCCACGCUGUAAACGAUGAGUGCUAAGUGUUAGAGGGUUUCCGCCCUUUAGUGCUGAAGUUAACGCAUUAAGCACUCCGCCUGGGGAUACGGUCGCAAGACUGAAACCUCAAAUGAAUUGACGGCUGNGAGNGCGAGACGACGACGAGGGAGAGG